rnacentral:rRNA from 1 species
GACGAACGCUGGCGGCGUGCCUAACACAUGCAAGUCGAGCGAGGAGAGUUCCUUCGGGAACAAACCUAGCGGCGGACGGGUGAGUAACACGUGGGCAACCUGCCUUGUAGAGGGGGAUAGCCUUCCGAAAGGAAGAUUAAUACCGCAUAACAUUACAGUUUCGCAUGAAACAGUAAUUAAAGGAGCAAUCCGCUACAAGAUGGGCCCGCGGCGCAUUAGCUAGUUGGUGAGGUAACGGCUCACCAAGGCGACGAUGCGUAGCCGACCUGAGAGGGUGAUCGGCCACAUUGGGACUGAGACACGGCCCAGACUCCUACGGGAGGCAGCAGUGGGGAAUAUUGCACAAUGGGGGAAACCCUGAUGCAGCAACGCCGCGUGAGUGAUGAAGGUUUUCGGAUCGUAAAGCUCUGUCUUCGGGGACGAUAAUGACGGUACCCGAGGAGGAAGCCACGGCUAACUACGUG